rnacentral:rRNA from 1 species
GACGAACGCUGGCGGCGUGCUUAACACAUGCAAGUCGAACGAUGAAAGCUGGAGCUUGCUCCGGCUGGAUUAGUGGCGAACGGGUGAGUAACACGUGAGCAAUCUGCCCUUGACUCUGGGAUAACUCUGAGAGAUCGGUGCUAAUACCGGAUAUGACCCUUGGCGGCAUCGCUGGGGGUGGAAAGUUUUUCGGUCAAGGAUGAGCUCGCGGCCUAUCAGCUUGUUGGUGAGGUAAUGGCUCACCAAGGCGACGACGGGUAGCCGGCCUGAGAGGGUGACCGGCCACACUGGGACUGAGACACGGCCCAGACUCCUACGGGAGGCAGCGGUGGGGAAUAUUGCACAAUGGGCGCAAGCCUGAUGCAGCAACGCCGCGUGGGGGAUGACGGCCUUCGAGUUGUAAACCUCUUUUAGCAGGGGAGAAGCGAAAGUGACGGUACCUGCAGAAAAAGCACCGGCUAACUACGUGCCAGCCGCCGCCGUAA